GUCAUAGUGGCUCAGUUAGUAGAGUCUUGGGUUAAUAUUUUCAAGAUUGUGGGUUCAAAUCUCACCUGUAGUA
rnacentral:tRNA from 1 species